UCCCCUAGUAACGGCGAGUGAACCGGGAAGAGCUCAAAUUUGUAAUCUGGCGUCCUCCGGGCGUCCGAGUUGUAAUCUAUAGAGGCAUUUUCCGCGCCGGACCGCGUCCAAGUCCCUUGGAACAGGGUAUCAAAGAGGGUGACAAUCCCGUGCUUGAUGCGACGACCGGUGCUAUGUGAUAUGUUCUCAACGAGUCGAGUUGUUUGGGAAUGCAGCUCUAAACGGGUGGUAAAUUCCAUCUAAGGCUAAAUAUUGGCGAGAGACCGAUAGCGAACAAGUACCGUGAGGGAAAGAUGAAAAGCACUCUGGAAGGAGAGUUAAACAGUACGUGAAAUUGUUAAAAGGGAAACGAUUGAAGUCAGUCGUGCGGGCAGUAUUCAGCCGUCUCUGGCGGUGUAUUUGCUGUCCGCGGGUCAACAUCAGUUUGGAUCGGUGGAUAAGGUCAAGAGGAAGGUGGCACCCUCGGGUGUGUUAUAGCCUCUUGUCGCAUACACUGGUUCAGACAGAGGAACGCAGCUCGCCCUCACGGGCCGGGGUUCGCCCACG
rnacentral:rRNA from 1 species